rnacentral:rRNA from 1 species
GCAGCCGCGGUAAUACGUAGGGGGCGAGCGUUGUCCGGAUUUAUUGGGCGUAAAGCGCGCGCAGGUGGCUCAUUACGCCCGGCGUGAAAGCCCCCGGCCUAACCGGGGAGGGUCGUCGGGGACGGGUGAGCUUGAGGGUAUCAGGGGCUGGUGGAAUUCCCGGUGUAGUGGUGAAAUGCGUAGAGAUCGGGAGGAACACCCGUGGCGAAGGCGGCCAGCUGGGAUACACCUGACACUGAGGCGCGAAGGCGUGGGGAGCGAA